GCCGCUGUGGCUUAGGGGUAAAGCGGCUGAUUCGUAAUCAGCAGAUCGUGGGUUCAAAUCCCACCAGCGGCU
rfam:Desulfuromonadales bacterium C00003107 5579_contig_14072.2, whole genome shotgun sequence.